UACAGAGGUCCCAAGCGUUGUUCGGAUUCAUUGGGCGUAAAGGGUGCGUAGGCGGCGGGGUAAGUCAGGUGUGAAAUCCCGGAGCUCAACUCCGGAACUGCACUUGAUACUGCCUUGCUCGAGUACUGGAGAGGAGACUGGAAUUUACGGUGUAGCAGUGAAAUGCGUAGAUAUCGUAAGGAAGACCAGUGGCGAAGGCGAGUCUCUGGACAGUUACUGACGCUGAGGCACGAAAGCGUGGGGAGCAAACAGG
rnacentral:rRNA from 1 species